CUUCUUUUUGUAUUGUGUGUUGUAGAUGUAGAAGGUUUUUUUAUUUUAAUUUUUGGAAUUGUUAUAGUUCUGGGUUUUUAUGAAUUGUGACAAAGUUCCAAAUUUGUGUUUUAUAUUCGAAUAUAUGAUUAUUAAGGUUGAUGACGUGAUGAUCUAUGAAAGAUGGGUUGGUUUUCAGUUAAUUUUGGACUUAAAGAAUUGUUUUUAUCUUAUCAAUUUUGUAUAAAACUACUGUAUUAUUUAUGUACAAUAUAUUGUAUUAUUGUUUUCUUUUAAAUAAAAGUUAUAAUUUUUAAAUAUAAAAGAUGUUGAUUUCGGGAAACCAAGGGAAGGGAUGCAGGAUUCCAGUUAUUAAGAUUGAAUUUUGUUUGUUUGCUAUUUUUUAUUUUUUAUAUUUUUAUAAUCUUAAGAUUGAAUUUUUGAACUUACUAUGUUGUAUUGUUGUUCAAUCUUUUUUAUGUGUUGGGUUGAUAACUUGGUAUCUGUUUCUUUUUUGUUAUUAUCUUAAGAUUACAAUUUUGUAUUCACCCAGUUAAUGAAUGUUCUUUUAUUUUAUUUUUUGUUGGAUGAAUGUUUAAGUUUAUGAAGUUUGAGUUAGAAAAACAAAAUUGGAAAUUCUUUGGGGGGACAGAAGGAGUACGAUAUAAAUAAUGAAAUUGAGUAAAAUAAAUAAUGUUUAAAAGGAAUUUCCCUAAAUUUUGUCUAUGAAAUAAGAGUCUCUGUCAAGAAAAUCACAAAAUGCAAUUACUGUCUGUUAGUUGUUGUAAGUAAUGACAUUCUUAGUGUAUUGAUUUCAUUCCAUUUUCUUGGUGUUCUAAAUCAUUUUUAAGGGAUACAUUAUUCCUUUCUAGUUCAGUUUCUAAAUUGUUUCGCAUUUCUUUUCUCGUGUGUUAUCUUACUGAUUCUUAUGGUUGUUGAGGCCUUUUCUUGUUCAGUAGAGGUGGUAUAGAGGUGGAAAACCGAUCAUUUUCUUCGAGGAUGCCUGCAUAGUGGGAAAGAAUCUCAGCCUGAUGCGGAAUCAUAUGAUUUGGUUAUUAGCAUGCUAUUUCAGCAAGGUCAGACUGAUAUGGCCUUGAAAUAUAUAGAUCUGGCGCUAAAAUCUGGUUAUAUGCUGUCAACAAAGGUCUUUGUUGAUUGUGUCCAGAGUUGUAUUAACCAGCAAAGAUUGGAGAGUCUUGUGAUGGUUAUAGAGAGUGCAAGGCCAUGGACCAGAAUAAAGCUCUGAGCCCCAGCUGGAAUUUGUGCAACGACCUUGCCAAUGUUGCAAUACAGAAUGAUAAUAGCAAGCUAACCUUUCUGGCCUUGGCAUUCAUGGCUAGGCUGAUACAAGCCGGUGAGAAUGCAAGGCCCCCUAUUUACCACUCUGUUGAUGAAGGAUUAGUUAUUUCUGCUCUUGCCACAGCUGGCCGAACUUCUGAUACUACUCUUUUGGAUGCGUCAUGGGCCAUCCUAAAGAGAUCCUUGCAUGAAAAAAGGGUUCCUAAGCCUGAAACCUACUUGGCUAAGAUGAAUUCCCUUGCUUCCUUGGGGAGCUUGCCAAGUGCUUUUAAUACUCUCAAUGAACUUGAGAGAACACAUGCAAAUUAUGCAGCAGCUGAGGAGGACCUAUUGUCACCAUUUACUUCUCUUUAUCCGCUUGUCGUGGCAUGUUCAAAGCAAGGUUCUGAAACUUUAGAUUUGGAAAAAAAAAAACAAAAUAAAAGAAAUCAAAGUAAAAUUAGGAGAAGAUUGUAAAUAAACAAUCCAGACAAACGUGAAGCAAAUUAAGGCCACACAAAUCCAUCUUUCUGUUAGAGAGGAGAAGAUUGAUUUCACUAUGGAGGAAUUAACAAAGAGCAUGGAAGAUUGUAUUUAAAAAUCAUUGUAGCUUUUGAAAUCCAAUUUGUAAUUCAUUAGUAGACUUGUUUAUAAUGCAAGUAGUUCUGUUAGAUA